GACGAACGCUGGCGGCGUGCUUAACACAUGCAAGUCGAACGGUAAGGCCCUUCGGGGUACACGAGUGGCGAACGGGUGAGUAACACGUGGGUGAUCUGCCCUGCACUUCGGGAUAAGCCUGGGAAACUGGGUCUAAUACCGGAUAGGACUCCGGACUGCAUGGUCUGGGGUGGAAAGCUUUUGCGGUGUGGGAUGGGCCCGCGGCCUAUCAGCUUGUUGGUGGGGUGAUGGCCUACCAAGGCGACGACGGGUAGCCGGCCUGAGAGGGCGACCGGCCACACUGGGAAUGAGAUACGGCCCAGACUCCUACGGGAGGCAGCAGUGGGGAAUAUUGCACAAUGGGCGCAAGCCUGAUGCAGCGACGCCGCGUGAGGGAUGACGGCCUUCGGGUUGUAAACCUCUUUCAGCACAGACGAAGCGCAAGUGACGGUAUGUGCAGAAGAAGGACCGGCCAACUACGUGCCAGCAGCCGCGGUAA
rnacentral:rRNA from 1 species